UUUUUAAAACUUUUAAAAAAAAAAAAAUCCUUUCUAAAAGUUAGAAAAGAAAAAAAAAAAGGAGUCAUCCAAAUAGUUCGAAUUAUC